rnacentral:snRNA from 1 species
GUGCUCACUUUGGCAGCACAUAUACUAAAAUUGGAACGAGAUAGGGAAGAUUAGCAUGGCCUCUAAAAAAAAAAUAGACUGAUCACUUUCAUUU